rnacentral:rRNA from 1 species
GACGAACGCUGGCGGCGUGCCUAAUACAUGCAAGUAGAACGCACAGUUUAUACCGUAGCUUGCUACACCAUAGACUGUGAGUUGCGAACGGGUGAGUAACGCGUAGGUAACCUGCCUGGUAGCGGGGGAUAACUAUUGGAAACGAUAGCUAAUACCGCAUAAUAUUAAUUAUUGCAUGAUAAUUAAUUGAAAGGUGCAAUUGCACCACUACCAGAUGGACCUGCGUUGUAUUAGCUAGUAGGUGAGGUAACGGCUCACCUAGGCGACGACACAUAGCCGACCUGAGAGGGUGAUCGGCCACACUGGGACUGAGACACGGCCCAGACUCCUACGGGAGGCAGCAGUAGGGAAUCUUCGGCAAUGGACGAAAGUCUGACCGAGCAACGCCGCGUGAGUGAAGAAGGUUUUCGGAUCGUAAAGCUCUGUUGUAAGAGAAGAACGGGUGUGAGAGUGGAAAGUUCACACUGUGGCGGUAUCUUACCAGAAAGGGACGGCUAACUACGUG